CCCGCCUGGGAACUACGAGCAUAAGCUUAAAACCUAAAGGACUUGGCGGUGCUUUAGACCCACCUAGAGGAGCCUGUUCUACAACCGAUAACCCCCGUUAAACCUCACCUUCUUUUGUUAUUUCCGCCUAUAUACCGCCGUCGUCAGCUUACCCUGUGAAGGUUCUUCAGUAAGCAAAAUUGAUUUUUUCCAAAACGCCGGGUCGAGGUGUAGCAUAUGAGAAGGAAAGAAAUGGGCUACAUUUUCUGAUACAGAAAACACGGAUAUUACUAUGAAACAGUAUAUAGAAGGAGGAUUUAGCAGUAAGCAGAGAAUAGAGAGCUCU
rnacentral:rRNA from 1 species